rnacentral:rRNA from 1 species
GGGUUGUGAGGUUAAGCGACUAAGCGUACACGGUGGAUGCCCUGGCAGUCAGAGGCGAUGAAGGACGUGCUAAUCUGCGAAAAGCGUCGGUAAGGUGAUAUGAACCGUUAUAGCCGGCGAUGUCCGAAUGGGGAAACCCAGUGUGAUUCGUCACACACUAUCGUUAACUGAAUACAUAGGUUAACGAGGCGAACCGGGGGAACUGAAACAUCUAAGUACCCCGAGGAAAAGAAAUCAACCGAGAUUCCCCCAGUAGCGGCGAGCGAACGGGGAGCAGCCCAGAGUCUGAAUCAGCUUGUGUGUUAGUGGAACGGUCUGGAAAGUCCGACGGUACAGGGUGAUAGUCCCGUACACCAAAAUGCACAGGCUGUGAACUCGAAGAGUAGGGCGGGACACGUGGUAUCCUGUCUGAAUAUGGGGGGACCAUCCUCCAAGGCUAAAUACUCCUGACUGACCGAUAGUGAACCAGUACCGUGAGGGAAAGGCGAAAAGAACCCCGGCGAGGGGAGUGAAAAAGAACCUGAAACCGUGUACGUACAAGCAGUGGGAGCACCUUCGGGUGUGACUGCGUACCUUUUGUAUAAUGGGUCAGCGACUUAUAUUCUGUAGCAAGGUUAACCGUAUAGGGGAGCCGCAGGGAAACCGAGUCUUAACUGGGCGUUAAGUUGCAGGGUAUAGACCCGAAACCCGGUGAUCUAGCCAUGGGCAGGUUGAAGGUUGGGUAACACUAACUGGAGGACCGAACCGACUAAUGUUGAAAAAUUAGCGGAUGACUUGUGGCUGGGGGUGAAAGGCCAAUCAAACCGGGAGAUAGCUGGUUCUCCCCGAAAGCUAUUUAGGUAGCGCCUCGUGAACUCAUCUUCGGGGGUAGAGCACUGUUUCGGCUAGGGGGUCAUCCCGACUUACCAACCCGAUGCAAACUACGAAUACCGAAGAAUGUUAUCACGGGAGACACACGGCGGGUGCUAACGUCCGUCGUGAAGAGGGAAACAACCCAGACCGCCAGCUAAGGUCCCAAAGUCAUGGUUAAGUGGGAAACGAUGUGGGAAGGCACAGACAGCCAGGAUGUUGGCUUAGAAGCAGCCAUCAUUUAAAGAAAGCGUAAUAGCUCACUGGUCGAGUCGGCCUGCGCGGAAGAUGUAACGGGGCUAAACCAUGCACCGAAGCUGCGGCAGCGACACUAUGUGUUGUUGGGUAGGGGAGCGUUCUGUAAGCCUGCGAAGGUGACCUGUGAGGGUUGCUGGAGGUAUCAGAAGUGCGAAUGCUGACAUAAGUAACGAUAAAGCGGGUGAAAAGCCCGCUCGCCGGAAGACCAAGGGUUCCUGUCCAACGUUAAUCGGGGCAGGGUGAGUCGACCCCUAAGGCGAGGCCGAAAGGCGUAGUCGAUGGGAAACAGGUUAAUAUUCCUGUACUUGGUGUUACUGCGAAGGGGGGACGGAGAAGGCUAUGUUAGCCGGGCGACGGUUGUCCCGGUUUAAGCAUGUAGGCUGGUUAUCCAGGCAAAUCCGGAUAAUCAAGGCUGAGGUGUGAUGACGAGGCACUACGGUGCUGAAGUAACAAAUGCCCUGCUUCCAGGAAAAGCCUCUAAGCAUCAGGUAACAUCAAAUCGUACCCCAAACCGACACAGGUGGUCAGGUAGAGAAUACCAAGGCGCUUGAGAGAACUCGGGUGAAGGAACUAGGCAAAAUGGUGCCGUAACUUCGGGAGAAGGCACGCUGGUGUGUAGGUGAAGUCCCUGCGGAUGGAGCUGAGACCAGUCGAAGAUACCAGCUGGCUGCAACUGUUUAUUAAAAACACAGCACUGUGCAAACACGAAAGUGGACGUAUACGGUGUGACGCCUGCCCGGUGCCGGAAGGUUAAUUGAUGGGGUUAUCCGUAAGGAGAAGCUCUUGAUCGAAGCCCCGGUAAACGGCGGCCGUAACUAUAACGGUCCUAAGGUAGCGAAAUUCCUUGUCGGGUAAGUUCCGACCUGCACGAAUGGCGUAAUGAUGGCCAGGCUGUCUCCACCCGAGACUCAGUGAAAUUGAACUCGCUGUGAAGAUGCAGUGUACCCGCGGCAAGACGGAAAGACCCCGUGAACCUUUACUAUAGCUUGACACUGAACAUUGAGCCUUGAUGUGUAGGAUAGGUGGGAGGCUUUGAAGCGUGGACGCCAGUCUGCGUGGAGCCAACCUUGAAAUACCACCCUUUAAUGUUUGAUGUUCUAACGUUGGCCCCUUACCGGGGUUGCGGACAGUGUCUGGUGGGUAGUUUGACUGGGGCGGUCUCCUCCCAAAGCGUAACGGAGGAGCACGAAGGUUAGCUAAUCCUGGUCGGACAUCAGGAGGUUAGUGCAAUGGCAUAAGCUAGCUUGACUGCGAGCGUGACGGCGCGAGCAGGUGCGAAAGCAGGUCAUAGUGAUCCGGUGGUUCUGAAUGGAAGGGCCAUCGCUCAACGGAUAAAAGGUACUCCGGGGAUAACAGGCUGAUACCGCCCAAGAGUUCAUAUCGACGGCGGUGUUUGGCACCUCGAUGUCGGCUCAUCACAUCCUGGGGCUGAAGUAGGUCCCAAGGGUAUGGCUGUUCGCCAUUUAAAGUGGUACGCGAGCUGGGUUUAGAACGUCGUGAGACAGUUCGGUCCCUAUCUGCCGUGGGCGCUGGAGAAUUGAGGGGGGCUGCUCCUAGUACGAGAGGACCGGAGUGGACGCAUCACUGGUGUUCGGGUUGUCAUGCCAAUGGCACUGCCCGGUAGCUAAAUGCGGAAGAGAUAAGUGCUGAAAGCAUCUAAGCACGAAACUUGCCCCGAGAUGAGUUCUCCCUGAGACUUUAAGUCUCCUGAAGGAACGUUGAAGACGACGACGUUGAUAGGCCGGGUGUGUAAGCGCAGCGAUGCGUUGAGCUAACCGGUACUAAUGAACCGUGAGGCUUAACCUUACAACGCCGAAG